GAGUGCUAUACAAUAGUCCAGGAAAGCUGGAAGAGAAAAACUCAUUAUAUUCAUGUGUGCACACUCAAAAAAAUGAUUUUUUUUACAUUUGUUCACUUUACCUGAACAAUUCAUGUUGAAUUAAUGCCAUUUUGGCUAUUUUUCAGUUCAACAUGAUUGUGUCAUGUUAAACUGACUUAAAACUGUGACUCGUUGGUUUAACAAAGUUUUCAUUUUGAAAGAACAUGUUUCAAUCAAGUACCUCAAAAUAAGUUUUACACUUCCCAUCAUGCUUUGCACAGGACUGGAUAUGGGGAAAGAAAAUGUUGAAAUAAAGUGUUAUUUUAUGCAGUUUUUAGUAAAAUGUGAUAAUAAGGAGACUUUUUCAUGUCUAAUGCUCUAUUAUAUGGGCAUUUUAAAAGACUUUAUAUUGGUGUAUUUUGUGCGAGUUACCGUUGUGGUGAAGUGUGGAGCUUGUGGUUGGGUUGAGGACCUGCCAAGUUAGCUAAAAUUAUAAAAAUAGGGAUGUUGUGGCCCAAUGGUUUGAGUCGAACUGGCAAUCGAAAAGUUGUGAGUUCGAGUCCCGGGCCUGCAGGAAUUGUGGGUGGGGGGAGGGCAUGUACAGUGCUCUCUCCACCUUCAAUACCACGACUUAGGUGCCCUUGAGCAAGGCAUCGAACCCCCAACUGCCACCCCGGGUACCGCAGCAUAAAUGGCUGCCCACUGCUCCGAGUGUGUGUUCACAGUGUGUGUGUGUGUGUGUGUGCUCACAGUGUGUGUGUGUGUUUGUUCACUGCUCUGUGUGUGUGCACUUCGGAUGGGUUAAAUGCAGAGCACAAAUUCUGAGUGUGGGUCACCAUACUUGGCUGAUUGUCACUUCACUUUUGUCACUUUCAAUUACAACAAUUAAGGUUUGAAAAUGUAACAUGUUUUGUCCAUUUAUUCAAUAGAAUUAAGAAAAUGUAAGGUGCUUAUAUAAAGCAAGUAACAAUAAGUUAUUGAAAAUGAGUAAAGUUUAUGUAUUAUACAAGCUUAAAUCACAGUUCAUCAGUUUUCAUAAAAUGUAUUUAAUUCAUUUACGUUAACUGAACAUGAAAAGGUGAAGCUUAAACAAAUAUUAACUUUUGCGUUGGAUUUAUGUGAUUACAUUGGAUGGAAAAUUGAAAUCUAAUUGAAUUAAAUAAGUUUUAACUUUUGGGGUUAAAUAUUUUUUUGAGUGCAGAAUUAUUAGGCAUGUUUUCUUUUACAGAUGAAAUGCGCUAAAAAAGAGUUUUAACUCAAACUGUUUUAACUCAAAGUCGAAAAUUAUGAAAUACCCAUGAGAAAUAUCAAACACAAAUGCAAUACAGAAAUAGAUAAGUUAAGACUUGACCAUUGUACAAAAAUGCUGACUGGGUCAUGAGGUCAGAAAAGAAGAAGAAAAAAAAAACAGGUCAAGAAGAACUGACAAAAAUAAUUGCAAAAUAAUUAGGAAUUAAUGUGAAGAUUAAUUUUUAGUCAAUUCUGCAAGACAGACUUUCAGGAAAGGAGGUGGAAUAAAAAUGAGCUCCUAAAUCUUAAACCCGGAUUCUGGAAGAUAUAUUCCUCAAACCAUCGGACAAGAGGAGGUGGUGCUGGUCCUUCACGAGUCACUCUAAUCUGUUCAUAAAGCCUAUAUAUAAAGUCUUAAUAUAUAGUAUUUCACAAUACUUCAUGGUAUUCUAAUUAAAUCAUUUUUUGGAAUCUUUGAUUUCUCAGAACCUGACACAUUGUAAUUCUGAGACUCCAGGAAAGUGGCAGUUCUGUAAAAUGUUGGCACUGGAGACUAAAUGCUCCCUGAUAGUUUCACACCUAAUUCACUUAACACACACACACACACACACACACACACAUUACCCACAGUGACAGAGGGACAGAGUGACAUCAGAUGUAUGAUAGUUUUUUAAUUUUCUAUCAUCCAUAUAGUGUUGUAUAGUCAUGAAACUAUGCAUAUUUCCUCAGAAUGACUUGUCUUCUAUGUGUACAUUUUUUUGAAGUGUUUAGAAGCUGCACUUAAAAAAAUAAAAGACAUUUACUGGUUAAUUUUACUGUUAUUUCAAAAAAUCACCACGACAAAACCAUUCAAGCCAUUCAAAAUUCAUCCGCACCUGUUCUGUAAGAUACAUUCUUUAAACUGGUAAAAGAGGAUGUGGUGCUGAUCCUUCAAGAGUCACUCAAAACUUAUCUGUCCAUAAAGCCUAUAAAGAAAUUAUUCUUAAUAUACAGUUCACAAUACUUCAGCUUGUUAUUCUAAUAAAGUGAGGGUCAUUUUAUCAGUAAAAUACAUAAAAUUCAUAUUAUUUUUCUUUGAAAGAUUUCUAUAAAUGAUUUAAAUCAUAGUUGUUUCUACAAUAAUUAUUUAAAAGUGAUCCUAUAGCUCCAUCUGGUGGCCAUUAUUGGUACUAAGAAUUGCAAGCUUGAUUUAUAUGUUAUGAUAGUUUUAAUUUUAUGCUGGCUCUUGAAAAUGAUAAAGCUAUGAAACUUACUGUGCUUCCUUCAAAUGAUGACUUCUACGUAUAUAAAAAAUUAUGAAGAGUUGGAAUUAAAAAUUUUAAAGAUAUAGUAAAAUAACUAUUGUAUCUUUUUUAUGUUACUUUAAUAAAUCUCUAUGGCCACACCAUUUAAGGUAUCCUAAACCCAUUCGCAAUUUAACAUCUUCAGUAUAUGGCUUCAUGUUAAAAAAAUUUGGUGUGAACUACUUGUGUCUUCUUGGAGGAGUAUGAAUUCAUUUACAGGCUGAUUUUAUCAUAAAUCCACAAUAACAUUUCUGAGUUCUGUAUCAAUCAGUGUUGUUGUUUGUUUAUUUUUAUUUGUUUAUUUUUCAUAGGAAGAUAACUGACCCUUUACUCUCCUUUUUAAUAAAUGAGCUAUUUAUAGCUGUAUUUAUAAACUGCUUACUACUGACUAUUAAUAUUGGGACAAGGCUUUAUGAAGCAUGAACUGACUAUUUACUAAUGAGUGCAGUUAUUAUAAAGUGUUAUCAAUGCAUUUGCUAAUGUUAACAAAUUAGACAUUAUUUUACAGUGUUAUCAAAUCCCUUAAAUGAUUUGUAAGUGUUUUGUAAUGAUUUUAUUGACCUACAAGCAUUUGUGAAAGUUCUGCUUGCAUUACAGCUUAGUCUUGAUCUGUGAGCUGAACAGUUUUACUGUUACAUCCAUGAGAUUAUGUAAAUUCAAAUAAAUAUCAUGUCACAGGAUGUCAGAGGUCAGUAUCAAAUUAGUUUGAAAUUAUUAUUUGCAGCACUAAUAAGGUUUUUUAGGAUUUUUAAAAAUCCCUAAAACUGUCAGAAAAGGAUAAGGCCCAAGAUUUCUAUGUGAGUGGCUAAAUUUGUUUGUUUUUAUAACUAUAAUGCAUAAACUAUGAAACUAUACAAAAUGUAUAAAAAAGUACAAGUUAUUAUUUUCCAAUGUUUUUUAUUUAUUUACAAUUUUUUUUUUUUUUUGGGGGAUUUACAUUUUUAAAAAUUUGCCUACGGCAAUCAUUCUAAACAGCUUGAAUAAAACCUGUCAAUAUUUAUUAUAGACCACUAUAACUGUGUAUAAUCUAACAAACGAGUUUAUUAUGAAAAUAAAAGCGUGUACACCAGAUAAAUUGGACGAUAAAGAAAUUGCUAACAAUAGUAUAAUAGAGCAUGUUUUAGGUUUUUAGGCGUUUAGAUGCAGAAAUGGAAAAAUCAAAUGUAAAAUCAAAUGUAAUUGAUUUAAUAAAAUAUAGAUUAAGUCUUGUUAGAGCAAAAUAAUAAAUAAAUACGUACACACAUUAAAAAAGCAGCCAAGAUGAAUGAGUUUAAUUUUUUAUAUAGAUUAAAAGUGAAGACAGAAGCAGCUGGUAUAUGCGGUCACUUAAUAUUAAAAUCCAGUAGAUCCACUUCAGAUUUAUUUCUCAACAGUUUAUGUUCACGUGGCUGUUUUCGUUUAUAUUCGCCAAGCUAUUAUGUAUUUUGAAAUAAUCUUGUCCGUGAUGUGUUCGUUCUUACGACGAAAGGCAGAAUCCUGCAGCUCGAGAGAUAUGUUAUUAUGCCAGUCGCGAUUUCAAAUAGUCUUGCACACUUAAACGGGUCACAAACACCUGCAUUUAGCUCGUGUUGUGUUAUAAUGGAUGUAUUGUGUGCAUUUAUGGCAAUAAUUUAUUUUGAAAAGCUCUUAAACAAGAAUAAAUUCGUUAGUUUUGAACUUGUGACACUGUGCGCGCUGAUCGGAGCGGUGAUUUCAGAUAGGCAGCUGCAAAUAUUUCAUUUUCACACAAACAGUUCAAAAACAUUUUAAUUUAGCUCUUGGUGUGCUCUAAUUGGUGAAUUGUGUGAUAUCGCUGCAAUACUUUAUUUUAAAUAGCUAUAAAACAAGAAUAAACUCGUUUUUUUCUGAGCUCAUCAUUCCACAUGCUGGUGCUCAGAGCGGUGAUUCAUCUCUCGUGUUUCUCACGUAUCACUGACCACACAUCAAUUAUUAAUGAGCCCUGACCUGAUAAUAAUCAUAUAUGUUGGUUUAGCUUGUCAGUGUGAAUUAAAUCCAAGUAUUUAUUUGUAUUUUAACCGAUUUAAAAGUGAAACAAAAAGACAGUCUCCUCCCUUUUUUAGUCCGGUAACUGAACCUGUAGGGGCGCUAUUUCUCUCAGACAAUGGAAGUCUAAGCACACACACUCAAACAGAGGGACAGAGUGAUAUGAGAUGUCUGACAGUUUUUUAAUUUUCUGUUAUCCAUACAGUGUUGUAAAGUCAUGAAACUAUGCAUAUUUACUCAGAAUAACUUUUUUUCUGUAUGAAAAAAGGUUUUGAAGUGUUUGGAAUUUAAAAAUGCAGGAAAAUUAAUAAUUCCAUCUUUAUUGUCAUUUAAAAAAAUCCCCACGACAAAACCAUUCAAGCUAUCCAAAACCCAUUCACAAUUUAAGUUCCUCAAUGUUUUUUCAACAUGUACACCAAGUUUGGUGUGUAUAGUGUUACUCUCCUCUGAGCAGUAUGCAUUAAUUCACAGCUAAAUGUAAAAAACAAUCCACAUUCAAA